rfam:Picea glauca, whole genome shotgun sequence.
UCUUAUGUACAUGCCUACAAUGUUAAUGCAUCGAAUCUCAUCAAAAAUCUAUAGUUAAGCAUGUUUGGGCUAGAGAAGUACUGGGAUGGGUGAUCUCCCGAGAAGUCCUAGUGUUUUACAUGAC